rnacentral:rRNA from 1 species
AUUGAACGCUGGCGGAAUGCUUUACACAUGCAAGUCGAACGGCAGCACGGACUUCGGUCUGGUGGCGAGUGGCGAACGGGUGAGUAAUGUAUCGGAACGUGCCCAGUCGUGGGGGAUAACGUAGCGGAAAUUACGCUAAUACCGCAUACGAUCUAUGGAUGAAAGCGGGGGAUCGCAAGACCUCGCGCGAUUGGAGCGGCCGAUAUCAGAUUAGGUAGUUGGUGGGGUAAAGGUCCACCAAGCCAACGAUCGGUAGCUGGUCUGAGAGGACGACCAGCAACACUGGAACUGAGACACGGUCCAGCAUCCUACGGGAGGGAGCAGUGGGGAAUUUUGGACAAUGGGCGAAAGCCUGAUCCAGCCAUUCCGCGUGCAGGAUGAAGGCCCUCGGGUUGUAAACUGCUUUUGUACAGAACGAAAAGGUUUCUACUAAUACUAGGAGCUCAUGACGGUACUGUAAGAAUAAGCACCGGCUAACUACGUGCCAGCAGCCGCGGUAA